AAAACAAUCAACCUUGGUUUUGGGGCAACCCUCGAUCUCGGCUUGGACUUGGGCGUUUGCCAUCCUCGCGGGUGGCUCGCCUCAAAUGAAUUAGCUGGACCUGUUUGUGAGGAAUGGUUCUACUCGGCGUAAUAAGUAUUUCGCUGAGGACAUGGCUUCGGCUGUGGCCUUCUUCUCGACGAUCGUCUGCUUUCAAACCCUGUUCUCCUUCGGAGACGCACUUUUUAUG
rnacentral:misc_RNA from 1 species